rnacentral:lncRNA from 1 species
CAGAGGCCUGGCACCUGGGCGUGGUCCUGCCUUUUUCCAUAGUGGCUGCUUGAGUUCCGGGAGCAGUCCUUCCUCACCACCUUCAGCUUCGGCUGUUAUUCUUGCACUCUGACACCCACAAUACAAUGAGUGUUCCUGUACUAAAGCUCGCCAGAGCCAAAAACCAUUAGCAAAGUAAAUCUGCUGGGGGAAAAAAUAUCCAGCAUUCCAGAAAGAUUAGCACACGCAGUCUCCAGUGUAUGAGGGAGUUGCGCUCCAAAAGAUAGUUUCAAAAGUUGGAACUUAGAGCAUGUUUUCUCCCAGAAACAAGGUUAUAUAUGGUGGUUGGAUACAGAGGCCAGUUGGCCAGGCUGGCUACCCAAUAAAGCACUUGAAGAACAGCCUUGCCUGCUUCCCCAACCUGAGCGCUCCCCCACCCCCCCAUCAGUUCAUUCUCUACACUCAGGCCAUAUUUUUGGUAAAAUGCAGCUCUGACCAUGUCCCCCCAUCCUGUGGACAGCUUUUAAGAAUUGGUUCUCCAGGC